UUUUGAAGUAAUAGCUCUUUGGGAGCGAAGCACGCGACAAAGCAGCAUCACUAUGGUCUAUUUAAUCUCACAAGUACACUGCAUUAUACCUUUAACUCCAAAACUUCGGUCAUGAGAAUUGAGGAUGAUAAAAAAAAAAUUAAGCAAUCAUAAAAGAACUCUGAGUGUAACUGUGUACAAGCAAAGGAAUGAAGAGUACCGCACACUGAAAAGCUGAGUGCUACGCAAUGUGCAGCAACAUCACAAACAUUCUGAAAUCCCAUAAUCUACUAAACCAGCUAAGUUUCUUCUUCUUUCUUCAUUUCUUGUUUAUUGAGGACAAUGAAAAGCUUAAGAGUGGGGGAAAAGCUUUGUGAAAUUUAUGUUGUUGAUUGUCAUGUUUGGUGUUUUGUUCCGGUCUUUUUUGAUAUUUUUUUUUUUAGCUGAGUUGAUGUUGUUUGGUUAUGGCGUAGUACAAGGAAGAUGUUGUAAAAUUUUUGAUUGAAAUUUUUGUUUACUGCUGGCUGCAUGUCUAAUUGUCUAAAAAAUAUGCUUCAGUGAAAUUCCAAACCAAGGAAUGUGAAUUGUUAAAAAAUAAAUAAAAGAAAAAAUGUUUUCCUUUUUGUCACUAAUUGACUUGUAUUGGAUCACUAAAAUGGUAUAUAAGAUGGCAUAAAUCCUUCGUUAACAUUUGUUUGUGGUAAGGUGGAUUGCUUUCUCUUUGUGCAAUGAAACUCGAAAGGAGGGCCACGAACUUCGUAAGACUCAAAUUCAUCUAUAUUCAUCCUCCUUCUUGAUUGCUCAAAUUGGGACUUGCAUUUUAGCAUCCAGAGACCGAUGAUCAAAGUGUGGGGAAAAUGAUAAAAGACAUUUUUUUUUAUUAUUAGAACUUUCAGAGUUUAGGCUUGUUAUUUAUUUUACUUUACAAAUUAUUCCCUUUGCUUAGCCUUUUUGUGCCUAAAUGUCCUAUUUUUGGUUCACCUACAUUACAAACUUAUGGCCUUUUACCCAUCUUGUGCUAAACGGAGUAUUAUUAUUUGGGUUGUGUUGUAAGUUGUUGAAUGAAAAGAAAAAAAAGGGAAAGAAUUGUUUAUAUGACAAAAAAAUGUAGAAUUAUAAUGGGCCGAAAAAAAAGAAAGAAAAAAAGUUCUGAAAGUUGCAAAAAAAUAAAAAUAAAAAAACAAGUUAUCAUUUGAGUUUGAAUUAUGGUAUUGAUAUUCUAGUUGGAGUUGUUUGUGACGUUUAUAUUAAAAAUGUCAGACUUUUAUUGUUUAUAUUCUCUUUAAGCACGACACUUUUACCACCACUUUUCCAAAUUUUCCUACCCUUAACCUUAACCCCAUUACAACCAAAUAAAAUUCCUUUUUGAUUUUCCAUUGCACUAUUGGUCUCCUAACGGUGGAGGGUUAGAUUUUUCGAGGGUCAUCAAAUCGAACAGAGGCGCAAGCUAAUAUGGUAGAGCAUCCCUAGGGUGGAUUCAAACAUGGGGGAGAGAAGCGGUAAGAUUGACUGGUUAAUGAAGGUGCAAAAGUCUUGGUUUGUAUCAUGAUCCAUUCUUGUUAAUUUUGACAUCAAAAUAAUUUGUGAAAGAAAAUUGAGCUUAUACUUGAGAAAUAAUUUAUUUCGUUAAUUAGUUUGAAAUUUCACUUUAUUGUAAGUUUGGAUUUUGAUCGAGGGCAACCAAAGACUAAGUGUGGGGGAAUUUGAUAAGUGCAUAAUAUACCAUAUUUUUAGUCUCUAAUAUUAGUCUUAUAACUGCCUUAUAUUAGUUAUUUUAUGAAACCAUUUACUUUAAUUAUUUUAGACUUUAUUUUAAUCAGUAUUUUAUCUGAUAGCUAUUUUUAUAAUAAUUGGUACUUAAUAUUAAGUUGUGUGUUUUUCAUAGGAAAGCGAGAAGAAAAAGGAGUGGGAUUGACAAAAACAAAUAACUAAAAGAAGCCCAUUUGCUUUACUACUCCAAGGCACCAAGUACCACAACUAUUACGUGCCAUCAUCUAAAAAAACAGAGAGAUAAGAAGAAAAGGAGGAAGAGGUGCGUGAAAAACAGGGAACCAAACCCACCAUUAUCAAAGUUUCAUCCCCAACAAGAAUUGUAAUUAUCCUCCGAAAUUCAAGGCAAGAUAUAAAGAAAAUGAAUCUCUAUCUUAUUUCACAAAUUUAUCUCUUUAAUCCCAGAAAACCUAGGUUGUUUUGGUUAUAAAAAUCCCUAAUUAUUCCUUCUAAAAACACACAACUUAGCCAAAAAUUAUAUGAAGUGCAAGAUAGUUCAAGUAAGUCCAUAAUUGGGGAAUUGGUGAAGAGAAGAUAGCCAUUGUAGGGAAGCUUAAUCUCAAGUCCAAGGUUGAACAAGGACAAAGGUGAAUUGCGAGGUCAAAGCUCGGUUAAUUCGGAGGUUCUUGAAAGUAUAGUUCAUAAGUCUUCUUCUUACUCAAUUGUUUGGAUUACUUUGCUAGUUUAAUUAAUUACGUUGAUUAGAAUAUUGAUGUGAUAAAUUGGUCUUCGAUUUUAUAAUCUAUUUGCAUAAUUUCUUUCAAUCUA